rnacentral:rRNA from 1 species
AUUGAACGCUGGCGGCAUGCCUUACACAUGCAAGUCGAACGGCAGCGGACCUUCGGGUGCCGGCGAGUGGCGAACGGGUGAGUAAUAUAUCGGAACGUACCUUUCAGUGGGGGAUAACGUAGCGAAAGUUACGCUAAUACCGCAUAUUCUGUGAGCAGGAAAGCAGGGGAUCGCAAGACCUUGCGCUGAUUGAGCGGCCGAUAUCAGAUUAGCUAGUUGGUGUGGUAAAGGCUCACCAAGGCGACGAUCUGUAGCGGGUCUGAGAGGAUGAUCCGCCACACUGGGACUGAGACACGGCCCAGACUCCUACGGGAGGCAGCAGUGGGGAAUUUUGGACAAUGGGCGCAAGCCUGAUCCAGCCAUGCCGCGUGCGGGACGAAGGCCUCGG